rnacentral:snoRNA from 14 species
GGCGCGCAAUGAACGAGGUGACGUCGUCGGGCGGACAGGGCCCGGUCUCCGGGGCCGCCUGAGGUUGCCGAGAAUGGCGUUCAAUGAAGGCGGGCGGAUAAUCCGGGCCUAAAGAACUUUAAUUCUAACU